GGCCGUGUGGCUCAAUGGCAGAGCGUCUGACUACGAUGUGUGUGAUCAGAAGGUCGCAGGUUCGACCCCUGUCUCGGUCA
rnacentral:tRNA from 1 species